GCCUUCGUGGUGUAAUGGUAACACACUCGGCAGGUAUUCGAGAGUUUCAGGUUCGAGUCCCGUCGAGAGCA
rnacentral:tRNA from 1 species